AGUGAACGCUGGCGGUAGGCCUAACACGUGCAAGUCGAACGGCAGCACAGUAGGAGCUUGCUCUUACGGGUGGCGAGUGGCGGACGGGUGAGGAAUACAUCGGAAUCUACUUUUUCGUGGGGGAUAACGUAGGGAAACUUACGCUAAUACCGCAUACGACCUACGGGUGAAAGCAGGGGAUCUUCGGACCUUGCGCGAUUGAAUGAGCCGAUGUCGGAUUAGCUAGUUGGCGGGGUAAAGGCCCACCAAGGCGACGAUCCGUAGCUGGUCUGAGAGGAUGAUCAGCCACACUGGAACUGAGACACGGUCCAGACUCCUACGGGAGGCAGCAGUGGGGAAUAUUGGACAAUGGGCGCAAGCCUGAUCCAGCCAUACCGCGUGGGUGAAGAAGGCCUUCGGGUUGUAAAGCCCUUUUGUUGGGAAAGAAAAGCAGCAGGUUAAUACCCCGCUGUUCUGACGGUACCCAAAGAAUAAGCACCGGCUAACUUCGUG
rnacentral:rRNA from 1 species